AAAUUGAAGAGUUUGAUCAUGGCUCAGAUUGAACGCUGGCGGCAGGCCUAACACAUGCAAGUCGAGCGGAAACGAGUUAUCUGAACCUUCGGGGAACGAUAGCGGCGUCGAGCGGCGGACGGGUGAGUAAUGCCUAGGAAAUUGCCCUGAUGUGGGGGAUAACCAUUGGAAACGAUGGCUAAUACCGCAUGAUGCCUACGGGCCAAAGAGGGGGACCUUCGGGCCUCU
rnacentral:rRNA from 1 species